rnacentral:lncRNA from 1 species
UGGAGCCCUCCCUCCCCAGCCUGGCCACGCUGGCUGCACACCGCAGCUAUCACCGGCUGCAGAUGCCGAGGAUCAGGAGAGGGAGAGCCAAAGCCAGCACUGCUCCUCUGCAGCUCCCUGCACGGCUGCACUAAUCGCUCCGGGGACGCUGCUGAGUUUGUGGAAUUGGCUGGUGAUGGGACCAUGGUUGACUUUAUCCCUGGAUCCUGUCUGUCUUUGAGUCAUCUUCGCUGUGAGUCACAGCAGCUGCUAAUCCCUUGGAGAUAACGGCCUCAUCCCGCUCUCUCCACGCAGGCCUGGGCACCUCCUCCCUUCCCCAGCACAGCUCUGCAGCCCCAGGAGGAGAACCAGCAGGACCCUCCUGUGCCUGUCACACCUCCCUCAGCAAGGUGAUUGGUGAAAGCAGCAUCCCUUUUCCCAGCCUCACCCGAGCCCCAGAAGCAGGAGGAAAGGCCCCAUCCCCUCCCGCAGUGAAGCACAGCCACCCGCAGGCUGGGACACCCUGCUGCGCUGGCCUCACCCGUGUCAUCAGGGAAGAUGUUCUCCUCCUCUCUUGUUCUCCCUAACCCAGGGAGCAGAAGCCAUAUUUGUGUGCAGAGUCUGAGAGCAAUUAAAUUGAAUUCUAAUUAUUGUAUAUCGCAAAUUAGCAAUUUCUACCAUGCUAAUAUUAAUUGCUAACACGACGAUAAGGCGUAUCAGGCAGUCAGGAUGGAGCAGGCGUCGGCUCGCUUGGAGAGAUGUGUGAAAGCAGAAAUCACUGCAGACAUGGAUAUCCCACAGCAGGGAGAUGUUCCUGGGCUGGGGACACUGAGGUUUGGGCUCAG